rnacentral:rRNA from 1 species
UACGGGGGGGGCAAGCGUUGUUCGGAAUUACUGGGCGUAAAGGGCGCGUAGGCGGCCUGCUAAGUCGGACGUGAAAUCCCCCGGCUCAACCGGGGAACUGCGUCCGAUACUGGUGGGCUCGAAUCCGGGAGAGGGAUGUGGAAUUCCAGGUGUAGCGGUGAAAUGCGUAGAUAUCUGGAGGAACACCGGUGGCGAAGGCGGCAUCCUGGACCGGUAUUGACGCUGAGGCGCGAAAGCCAGGGGAGCAAACGGG